AGUUGUAACAUUAAUUUUUUCCUACGAAGUAUGGAUGGUAAACUUAUUCUAUUUCUUUCGGUGAUUUCGGGAUCCUUGGCCAGUCAUUUCCGAGGUGGUACUAUAAGUUGGCAACCAACAGGUUUUGAAAACCAGGUGAAAUUUUCGUUUAAACUUGGGUGGUACUAUGGGACAGGACCAGGAUGCACCCCUAAUAACAUCGGUAACUUGACCACGGGAGGGACUUACGACUACUGGAGGUGUACCAGCGGGUGUGGAGGUACGCCCAAUAUGAACGACAUCAACUAUGUGUGUACGGGAGCUAGCGUUGAAGAUCUAUGGGAGCAGGGAGAAAGGGACUUCAUCUACAAUUUCACCGGAGUUGGACCUUUCACCGUAUCAUACAGUGGCUGCUGUUGGAUUUCCUUGAAUUAUGGUUCCUCCAGCUCUUGGAACAUUGAAACAACUGUUUACUUGGCGUCUAGGAGCGACAUAAACCGACCAAACUCGAGCCCCAUCACUGCAGGACAACCAAUGUAUAUCGUGCGGUACGGAACGCGGGUGGUGCUAACGAUACCUAUGGUGGACAGUGACGGGGAUACGAUUCGAUGCCGGUGGUCGACAGGGAAUGAGUGUGUGUCUGUGUGUAACAGUCUUCCACUGGCAACGCUUGACUCUGAUACAUGUACAAUUACGUUCAACGCCACCCACGCACUGAAUGGAAUGUACGCCGUGGCUUUAUCCAUCGAAGACUUUCCCAAAACGAACAUCCUCAUAGGAAGCAAGCUAUAUACUCCAAACGACCCGAUCUCAAUAGUCCCACUGCAGUUUUUAAUAAACACCGUUAACUUGGACGCGUCCUCCGGUGCCCCGCCAGUGUUUGUGAACGACACUCCCCCGGCAGGAAGCGCCCUGGAGGUCAAACUGCCACAAACUAUUUCAAUUCCAUUCUAUGCUUACAGCAAUCAGACAAUUUCCCGAAUUGACCUUACAUCGCCAGCAGGAAUGACCUACUCUGACCUUCAGCAGGACUUUUCCCGCCAGGAUGUAUCCUUCAUCACGACCUCAUGGACACCGACAGAGGAGCAGAUUGGUUCUCAUAUCCUGUGUGCUACCGCAGUGGACUCAAUGGGGUCAACUAGCAACUACCACUGUCUGUCGAUACGUGUUUCUGAGGUGAGUCCAUGUGACAGUAGCCCGUGCCCUAACAACAUGACCUGUGUACGAGAUGGCGCUAACUACACGUGCCAAUGUAUGGCUGGAUUUACUGGACUAAACUGCGAAAAUGACAUCAAUGAAUGUGCCGGUGAUCCGUGUGAAAAUGACGGGACCUGCAAUGACAUCAUCAAUGGAUAUUAUUGUACCUGUGUGAAUGGCUUUACUGGCCUAAGCUGUGAAACGGAAAUUAACGAAUGUGCAAGUUCUCCCUGCAUUAAUGGAGGAUUCUGUACCGAUGAGUUGAAUGGCUUUAACUGCACGUGUCCAACAGGGACAUCCGGGACUCUGUGUGAAAUUAAUAUCAAUGAAUGUGCAAGCUCUCCUUGUGAAAAUGGCGGACAUUGUCGUGAUUGGAUUAAUUCGUUUACGUGUAGUUGUGUAAAUGGAUUUACGGGGACACUAUGCGAGACAGAAAUCAACGAAUGUGCAAGUUUCCCAUGUAAAAAUGGAGGCACGUGCAGAGACCUUGUAAAUGGAUUCACUUGCACUUGUCCCCAUGGAUUAUCGGGCCCGUUGUGUGAAAUUGGAAUUUGGUGUUCUAGUUAUCCAUGUCAAAAUGGUGGCACAUGCGUUGAUAUAUCAAAUGGAUUCACGUGCAUUUGCCCUGCGGGAAUGUCUGGAACAUUGUGUGAAACAAACAUCAACGAAUGUGCAAGUUUCCCCUGUCAAAAUGGAGGCACGUGCAGAGACUUUGUAAAUGGAUUUACGUGCUCUUGUCCCUCGGGGACAUCGGGGCCCUUGUGUGAAAUCAGCAAUGAUUGGUGCUCUAGUUAUCCAUGUCAGAAUGAUGGCACGUGCACGAAUUUCUUGAAUGGAUUCACGUGUACUUGCCCGACGGGGACAUCAGGACAGUUGUGCGAAAUAAAUUACGAUGAAUGCGCAAGCAAACCUUGUCAAAACAAUGGUACAUGUUUAGACCUCAUCGAUGGAUUUCAGUGCUGUUGUCCAAUUGGAUUUGGAGGGAUAAUCUGUGACGUAAUGAUAGAUCAGGACGUAUGUUCCACUGAUCCAUGUUCAGCGAUGUACAGUUGUAAACCCGAUCAACUCUCCUACUCUUGUGAACCAAGUGCCGCCAUGUACGCCUUGAUUGCGUCAGCAGUAGCGUCAUCAGCAGGAAUCGCGGCAUUUGUGGCAUUCAGACUGCUGCGGCCUUCUUAUAAAGUUGUGGACCACUCCUGGUUAUCAAGUUACACAGACGUACGUAAACCGGAUAGCCAACCAAAACAAGUAUUCACGUUACAGAACAACAAACCUUCAUUUGCAUGAAAACCAACACUGCUGUGAUGUUCAAACUUUCUAUUGUACUCUAGCAUAUAAUUAAAGGCUUUAUGAAUCGAUUGUAUAAAUGUGUAAUGAAAACUAUUUCCUUUAUUAUCUUAAAUCAUUCAACCAGUACACAACCAGACCAUACACCAACAAGUUAACCGAAGGUUUACGCAAUUAAUGUGGUUAAAAAAUCUCCAAUAAAACGUUAUUCCGUCCAAAUUGUUUACAUGUAUAUCAUUGAAUGAUUAAGAAUCCAAUCAGUUGCAUGACCACAUACAUGCAGAGGACAGAAAUGCACAUAAAAAUCACGUACAUUAAAAAUAAAAUAUGAUAUAAAGUUUUCCGAGACCAUAAGUGACAGGUACAUUAGAAAUUAAGAUGAAAAAAGGAGAUUUAAUUCAGAGUAUUAUGAUAUGAUAAACUGUUGAAAUAACGAGACAUACAAUAACCAAUUAAAAAUUGCAGUAGUUCUUUUUGUUGGACUUUGCAUAGGAUCCACAGAC
rnacentral:sRNA from 1 species